GCCUGAGAAAGAGAUAAUUCAAAAGAUUUUUUGAGGCCAAGAUAGAUAUGUCAUUAAAUUAAUAGAUAACUCAAUUUUGGUAAUCCACGCCAAUCGACUUGGAUUUUAGGGUUCUUUCCUGCAUUGAUGAAUUGAGUAGAUAAACUUUCCUUUUAGGGUUUGUGCAUGCCAGAUUUCAAAACUCACCCUCACAUGCUAGGAUGCUGUUCGCGUGUUAUUAUAAGGGUUCAAGGCAUUUGAUAGUUGGGAUGUGUCAUCUAAUUACUAAACAUGCAUAUUAGUACAUGAUAACAUCUUAAAGGUCGUAAAGCGUAGAUGAGUCUCAACAUUGUGGAAGCAACUAAGGGAUUGUGACAACAAAACAACCAUUAUUCUUGAAGUUUUAACUGAUGAGGACAUACUAUAAUAUUGGUAAGGUUAACACUGAAUUCAAGGGAAAAUAAUGUACACCAAAAUGUGUGGUGCUGCUUGUACAUUGAGUAAAGACAAUGUCUCUAUAAGGUGAGUAAUGAGUACUGAGUAUCAUGAAAAUAGAUCACAGAGAUGACUUCAUUCAGAGUGCCCUGACUCCUGACUGAUUGAUAAACAGUGGAUAAAGCAGGUAUUAUCUAUAUGGUCAAUAAAUUCGGCAUGCCUGCGUCAUCUUUGGUGUGUUUCAGUUCUUGUACUAAUGAUUCAGAUAUAGUGCUGUGUUAUGGUGCAGUUCACCAUGCACAUAAAGUGAUGACAUUGAGAUCCUUUCCAGACAUUCGCCAAGCACCUGGUGAGGAAUUGCUGGGGAAGACCGUCUUACUGUGGAUGAAGUGAAUGAAGAGGCUGAAAUUACUGAUUGCUGAGGUCUUAUUUGAGACAAUUGAACUUAAUGUUAUAUCUGGAAAAUAUAUUCCGUUCUGAUAUCUUUGACCAUAAUUUUGUUUGCGCCUCUUAUUAUUGCAUCUGGACUUACAUACAGGGGAGGAAGACAAUAAUGUUGUGGACCAUACAUAGUCCAUGGUAAAAUGUUGGUGAAGAAUGGGGAAGGCAGCCAUUGGAAAGCCAACUGAGCAACAGGUGAAGGUUUAUUAAGUGCAUAUCAUUGACUUAAAAAUAUUUAGUCUGUUGUAAAAAUAUUUUCAGUCUCCAAGGGGAUGUCUAAUUCUUUAAAAAUCAUUCUUUUCAUAAAUAAAGUUUUAAUAUUUUCAUAGGUUUUUGGUUAUUAACUUAGUAUGUUGGUCAAUAUAAUAUCAAAAUAUCAGCCAGUAUUUUCUAUUUUAUUUCUUAAGAUUUCAAUCGAUAUUUGAAUUAUCAAUUAGUCAAAUUAGCAGUUCAUUCCGGAAAUUAAUAGUGUCUGGUUUCAUUUCAUUUUAGCCUCAAGAGAAGUCCAUCUGCAUUCUUUUGGUACAGCUCAUCUCCUAAGAC